UACGAAGGGGGCUAGCGUUGUUCGGAAUUACUGGGCGUAAAGCGCACGUAGGCGGCGUCGUCAGUCAGAGGUGAAAUCCCGGGGCUCAACCUCGGAAUUGCCUUUGAUACUGCGACGCUUGAGUUCGGAAGAGGACAGUGGAAUACCCAGUGUAGAGGUGAAAUUCGUAGAUAUUGGGUGGAACACCAGUGGCGAAGGCGACUGUCUGGUCCGAUACUGACGCUGAGGUGCGAAAGCGUGGGGAG
rnacentral:rRNA from 1 species